rnacentral:lncRNA from 1 species
CAUGGCUAAUCACAAACCCUGGGUCUUAGCCACACAUGAUAAUGCUAAUCAAAUUCACAAGUUUUGAAUGAAUGAAUGAAUGAAAAUACUAAGAAGAAUGAUAGAAAACUGGCAAUCCUUGCUCCUGAAACUCUUCAUGUGUAAUUGGCUCUCAAAGUGGUGUCCCCCCCUCCAAAUUAGGUUUAGAAUCAUUUUUAUACGAGUUGGGAUCAUGUAGUGUCAAAAAAACAGAGUCUCGAGGUGAAAUAAGAGAACUGCCAGGCUCAGCGUCUAGGGCAAUGCGUUGCGCUAGCCCUGUGCUGGCCUGCCUUCUCCUAAUUAAAAUCACGUCUGACUCCAGUGCUUCAGGUAGAGCAUCUAGCGCUGCCAUGGUCGCUGGACUUGUUUUUUGCCAUCUUCUGCCUUCUUUUGCUCAAUCUCUUGUCUUUUCAUUCCACUUCGCUUCAGGUUGAUUACUAUACAUAAUAACAUCAAAAUUUAGCUGAACAUGAAAAUACAUAAGAUUCGAGUAAAAUGUGAAGAUGACAUGCAUAUAAAUAUAUGUACUUUUAGAGGAAUAUUAGAAUUCCUUUAAGGUAACUUGUGGAGAAAUGGGAAAAUUGACAAGAUUUUAGCGCCUAAAACGUAAAUGUGAUUAAGUUAAUACUUUGUUACUAGCUACUUUGACAUGAUUUAAGUUUUUAGUGUAAUUUUCUUAUUGUUGUAAACUGAUCUUAGUACGUAGUUUCUCAAUUGAGUCCAAAAUUAGUAUGAAAAAAUGUUUUACGCAAAUAUACCUCGAGAACACUGAUUAUAAAAUAAUUGAAAAAAGUAAUUGACGUCCUUUAAGUUUAAGGUAUAAUUUUUAAUUUUUUUUUGCUUCUAAUUAUUUAUUCUCAGGGCUCGAACUUGAAAACUUUUUGUUAAAGAUAGAUGAACCAUAUUCAUCCUAUUACAUGGUAAUAUUCCUCAUUACUUAUAACCGUCACUAAUUAAACACCCACAUCACACACCAUCUCGAGCUACUAUCCACUCUACUACUACUAUUAUAUUAAGUGCGGGGCGAAUCUAAAUUAGAGUGACACAUAUGGCUUCACGUGAAUUCAAUCAUUUUUCUAGCUAGACUAAGUAUAUAUAUUACGGAAUUUAUUUAAUAUUUAUAAAUAUUUUAACUGUAAACUUAAUUAUUAUAGUAUAUUAACUUGAGAUCGAUGUAGAAGCCUAUAAACUUCAAAAUUCUAAAUCUGCAUCGCAUGAAACAUCAUAAAACAAUGUAAGAAACACUUACAAUAUUGUCGACAUUUUU